ensembl:processed_transcript
CUGCUCUGGAUCCUGAAGAUCCCUACAGCAGAAUGAAGGCCGCUGGGGUCGAUAAGCCAACUGACAUAGUGCCGCCAUAAUAUCACCCAGAUGGCGUGUAAAAACAGGAGUUGCCAGAGACGAAAGUGCAGACACCUCCAGCAGCACAUUAGUCGUGACAAGAAGUCGCCUUUCACCCGCAGGGGCCACAUCAAGUCGGACUGCCCCUUCUACAGCUGCCCCAAAAGCCGACCUCAGUCCCAAUGCUACCCCGACACCGGGAGCCAAAUAUGGGCAGAGACCCAGAGUGACCACAAACUGCAGCACAGCACCCAGUGUCUUCUGCUGGGCCACACUGAGAACAUCUGGGGGGAGUGGAGGAGCUGCUUCAGGGGUUGCCAGAUUUGGUGCCGCAGGAUGUUUGUGAAAGGCAUCCAGGAGGCGCUUCAGGUGUCGAGCCAGGCAAAGCAGCAAGAGAAGACAUUCCUGGACAAAGCUCCAUGUUAUGUCCUCAGUGUCCCUGCAGAACCAUGUGACGACUCUUCU